ACGCGCUCGCGAUCGAUGUGAACGCCGGCUCAGGCUCCGCGCCCCGCCCACUCGGCCAGCAAACCGGACUCACUGCGCCUGCGCCGGAGCGAGGCCGCGGCGGGGAUGGCGCAGGUGCGCGGCGUCCUAGCUCCAGGUUGUGGACGAAAACCUUUGGAGGAUUUCUGGUGCUAGACAAGAUGGCGUAUGCCCACUGCAGUCUCUCUCUUCCACUUAUGAUGACUAAAAAUGCUGGACAAAAAGAACUACCUGAGAACUCUGAAAACUUUGACCUGAGAGCCUCAAGGUCCCAGGUAAGGGGCCUCCCAGCAGCAGAGGCAGCAAAAACUGAGAGAAACUUAAAAGAAAACAGCUCUCGUUUCUUCUACUCUACUCAGCAACACUUCUGACACCAAAUGUGUGGGGCUUUUUCCCACAUCAAACAAUUCUCCAGCUCUCUAGAUGCCAACCAGUCCAACUGGCGUCCAAUUGGACCAAUUCUGACACCACCUGGAACUAGCACAGAACCCACAAGUUAAGGGCUCAGUCCCCAAAGACUGCCCCUACUUCAGACGUCAGUCAUAUGCCCCAGGUUGUCACUGGGAUACUGACCAACUGGCUAUAAAUUGGGGGGUUCCCUUAACCCCUUCCUCGGGUUUGAUAAUUUGCCACAGCGGCUCACAGAACUCAGAGAAACACUUACUUAUAUUUACUGGUCUAUCAUAGAGGAACAUCCAGAUGAAGUACAUAAGGUGAAGUCUGGAAGGGUCCUGAGUGCAGGUGCUUCUGUCCCUGUGGAAGUUGAGGUGCAUUACUCUUCCUGGUGCAUGGAUGUGUUCACCAGCCCAGAGGCUCUGUGAACCUCUUUGGUAAGGGUUUCUUUUUUUUUUUAAGAUUUUAUUUAUUUGAGAGAGAGCAUGAGCAGGGGGAGGGGAAGAGGAAGAGGGAGAAGCAGACUCCCCACUGAACAGGGAGCCCGACCGGAACUUGCUAUCAGGACCCUGGGAUUGUGACCUGACCGCCUGACAAAAAGCAGACGCUUAGACUGACUGAGCCACCCAGGCGCCCCUCUUUGGUAAGGCUUUUUAAGGGAGGUUUCAUCACAUACCAUAUACCAUAAUCAUUAACUCAAUCUCCAGCUCCUCUCCCCUGUCCCAGAGGAUGGGGAUGGGGCUGAAAGUUCCAAGCUGACAAUGAUGGCUUGGUCUUUCUGGUGACCAGCCCCCCAUCCUGAAGCUAUCCCGGAGAUCACCAUGAGUCACCUCAAAAGACGAGGUGAACAAAAGAUGCUCCUAUCACUCAGGAAAUUCCAAGAAUUUUAGGAGCUGUGUGUCAGGGACUGGAGGCAGAGACCAAAUAUGUAUUUCUUAUGUCACAAACUACAUCUCUCUGACCAGAGGACUUGGGAAAAGUGUCCCUGCGAGCUGGGGCGGGGGUGGGG